rnacentral:misc_RNA from 1 species
UAUUAUUCGAAAACAUUAUUAAUAUUGAAAAAUAAAAUAGCGCGCGUCUGUGGUGCUAGUAUAUAUAAAAUUUAUGUGCAAGAACUAAUAUUCUUAUUCGCUGAAAUUCGUAUUAAAUUUUAAUUAAAUGUUAUAGUUUAUUAUUUCAUCAUGAAUUGAUUAAAUGUAUCAAGUUCAAUAGCAAAGUCUAGAUUAAUGUACUUGAUAGCAUAAAAUAAUAACAUAUUUCGAUAUUGAAAACCAGUAAUUCUAGAUUCUUUUGAGUUAAUUCAAAUGCAGAUAAAAAAUCUACUAGAAACUGCUGGUAUUUAUCAGUCAAUACUGUGGUUUCAAGUACUAUUAUAGAUAUUUUUAUGAUAUAUCGCACGCUGCUGUCUUCAACGGAGAAGUGAACUGUACAAAUGCACACAGUGGAAUGAAACGCAUGAAAUUCUGGCGUUAAAGGAAAAGUGAACUACGCAUGCGUCGGUUUCUAUCAAGAUAUUAUUUUACGAAUAUUUUUCCGUGGGAAGUAACCACAUGUCGAAUUUCCUUUAACAUUAUAUUGAUCACUUAAUCGCCAUCGUCUUCUCGGGGUAGGUGACAAAUUAUGAGUGUAUCGAGCGCGGUAUGUGCUAUCUUAUACUCCGUUUAUAUUAUUGAACAGUGUGCAUGGCAAUUUACUUAUAUAAUCAUAUAACAUUAUAUAAAAUUGUAUAAUUCUAAAAUUGGUAAAGAAAUUUUACCAAUUUUACAAUUAUACAAUUUUAUAUAAUGUUAUAUGAUUAUAUAAAUCGCAAUUGCUUUUAUGCAAGAUGAGGUUUCACGAACCACCACAAAAUAUUUUGCAGUCAAACGUAACUCGAUAAACUCACGAUCGCUUGUAAAAUGAGUAUCUCCGUUCAAGAACGGUACUUUAGCUUGAAUAGAAUUAUAUUACUCGCUACUGGCUUAUGGCCUUAUCAACAAUCAAAGUUUGCUCGAUUUCAGGCAGCAUUGUAUCUCAGUAUGAUGAUAAGCUUCAUCAUAUUCCUGGUAUGUGUAUACUUCUAAUCCUAGUGUUUGCUAUUAUACAAUUUACAUGUUAUACAUUUAUAUGUUUAGAUGAGGCAAUGAAUGUUGAAGCAAAUAAAUCCCAAGAAAGUUUUAAUUACAGCUUUCAAGACUUUGUUUUACAGAACAAUCCUUUGAAUUUACUCUUCAUUUGCUUUCUAUGUCAACAUAUUUUAUUUUCCUCCUGAUUAAGUAUAUCUCCUUUUGGAUUAACAUGAAAUCUCAUAAAAUAUUGUUACUACAAUAGAUAAGAUAUUUAUUGGAGCAAUUUCAAUACAUCUACAAGAGGCUAAAGGAUUCGAAAGAAAUUGCUAUUUAUAACAAAUAUGGAAAUAAUGGAAAACGAAUAACAAUCGGUCUUAUAAGUAAGAAAAAGCCUUGUUGUGAAUUUUUAUCACUGUGAUUAUUUAUUUAGUACUUUUAGUAUUGCAGUAUUAUGAAUUAGAUUACAAUAUUUACUAAGAAAUUAUGAUUUACUGAUUUGUUGUAUUGUAUUAUAUUGCUCAUGCAUAUAUGUAUCUUAUUGUUUCUCUGAAAGAGAUAAUGUUUAGUAGUUGGAAUAUGCACUCAGACUUAUCUGAUUGCAAUACAAUGUUUGCCACACAUUUUGGAUAUGAUUAUGCCCAAAAAUGAGACCUACAUGCACCGCUUUAUAGUAAUUGUGACUGAAGGAUUCGCCGUACAAGAAAAAUAUUUCUAUUUAUUGUUUCUGUAUCUAUACGCAGUUUUAACCGCAGGAGCAGUUACACUCAUAGCGGUAGGGGCAAUGUUGUUAUCAUGUUUGAAACAUAUCUGUGGAAUGUUCAGAAUUGCUAGGUAAAUAAAUAAAAGUAGAAAAACGGAAAACGGAUAUUUAUUCACAUUGAGAAGAAUAGUUUUUACUUCAUAGGAUCUCGAAAAUUAUCUCCGAUAUAAUUAUAGAUAUAUACUAUUUACAGCUACCGCUUCGAACAAGCAGUAACGGCUACGUUACAAAAUAUUACCUUAAAAAAUAAAACUAUGUUUUACAAAGAGUUUAUCUAUGCCGUGGACAUUCAUCGCAAAGCUACGGAGUUAGUAUUGAUAUGAUAAUAUGUACACAUUAUUACCGUCGAUAAAGCAAUGGGAAACGUAUUUUUCUA